CACGUAGGGCGCAAGCGUUGUCCGGAAUUAUUGGGCGUAAAGAGCUCGUAGGCGGCUUGUCGCGUCGUCCGUGAAAACCUGCGGCUCAACUGCAGGCUGGCGGUCGAUACGGGCAGGCUGGAGUUCGGUAGGGGAGACUGGAAUUCCUGGUGUAGCGGUGAAAUGCGCAGAUAUCAGGAGGAACACCGGUGGCGAAGGCGGGUCUCUGGGCCGAUACUGACGCUGAGGCGCGAAAGCUAGGGGAGCAAACAGG
rnacentral:rRNA from 1 species